rnacentral:rRNA from 1 species
CCUACGGGUGGCAGCAGUGGGGAAUAUUGCGCAAUGGGCGAAAGCCUGACGCAGCGACGCCGCGUGAGGGAUGAAGGUCUUCGGAUCGUAAACCUCUGUUAGCAGGGAAGAACGGUCACUGUGCUAAUCAGCAGUGAAUUGACGGUAACUGCAAAGGAAGCACCGGCUAACUCCGUGCCAGCAGCCGCGGUAAUACGGAGGGUGCGAGUGUUAAUCGGAUUUACGGGGCGUAAAGCGCGCGUAGGCGGUAUGUCAAGUCAAGUGUGAACUCCACGGGCUCAACGUGUGAACUGCCUUUGAAACUGGCUAACUGGAGUGUUUGAGAGGAUAGUGGAAUUCCAGGUGUAGGAGUGAAAUCCGUAGAUAUCUGGAGGAACAUCAGUGGCGAAGGCGACUAUCUGGCACAUAACUGACGCUGAGGAGCGAAAGCGUGGGUAGCAAACAGGAUUAGAUACCCUUGUAGUC